GAUGAACGCUGGCGGCGUGCCUAAUACAUGCAAGUCGAGCGAACAGACGAGGAGCUUGCUCCUUUUACGUUAGCGGCGGACGGGUGAGUAACACGUGGGUAACCUACCUAUAAGACUGGGAUAACUUCGGGAAACCGGAGCUAAUACCGGAUAAUAUUUCGAACCGCAUGGUUCGAUAGUGAAAGAUGGCUCUGCUAUCACUUAUAGAUGGACCUGCGCCGUAUUAGCUAGUUGGUAAGGUAACGGCUUACCAAGGCAACGAUACGUAGCCGACCUGAGAGGGUGAUCGGCCACACUGGAACUGAGACACGGUCCAGACUCCUACGGGAGGCAGCAGUAGGGAAUCUUCCGCAAUGGGCGAAAGCCUGACGGAGCAACGCCGCGUGAGUGAUGAAGGUCUUCGGAUCGUAAAACUCUGUUAUUAGGGAAGAACAAACGUGUAAGUAACUGUGCACGUCUUGACGGUACCUAAUCAGAAAGCCACGGCUAACUACGUG
rnacentral:rRNA from 1 species